UACGGGGGGGGCAAGCGUUGUUCGGAAUUACUGGGCGUAAAGGGCUCGUAGGCGGCCAACUAAGUCAGACGUGAAAUCCCUCGGCUUAACCGGGGAACUGCAUCUGAUACUGGAUGGCUUGAGUUCGGGAGAGGGAUGCGGAAUUCCAGGUGUAGCGGUGAAAUGCGUAGAUAUCUGGAGGAACACCGGUGGCGAAGGCGGCAUCCUGGACCGACACUGACGCUGAGGAGCGAAAGCCAGGGGAGCAAAC
rnacentral:rRNA from 1 species